AUUGAACGCUGGCGGCAGGCUUAACACAUGCAAGUCGAGCGGGGGAAGGUAGCUUGCUACCGGACCUAGCGGCGGACGGGUGAGUAAUGCUUAGGAAUCUGCCUAUUAGUGGGGGACAACAUCUCGAAAGGGAUGCUAAUACCGCAUACGUCCUACGGGAGAAAGCAGGGGAUCUUGGGACCUUGCGCUAAUAGAUGAGCCUAAGUCGGAUUAGCUAGUUGGUGGGGUAAAGGCCUACCAAGGCCACGCCGGGUACCCGGCCCGAAAGGGCGAGCGGGCACUGAGGCACUCAAGCGCGUGCCUCAAUCCUACGGGAGGCAGCCGUGGGGAAUAUUGGACAAUUGGUGGAACCCUGAUCCAGCCAUGCGGCGGGUUUGAAGAAGGCCUUAUGGUUGUAAAGCACUUUAAGCGAGGAGGAGGCUACUCUAGUUAAUACCUAGGGAUAGUGGACGUUACUCGCAGAAUAAGCACCGGCUAACGCCGUGCCAGCCGCCGCUGUAA
rnacentral:rRNA from 1 species